GCGAUGAAUAAGCGACACAUUUGAUAAUAAUAAAAAUUGCAUUACACGCUAGAUGGAUUAGAUUAAUCGUUGAUUGGUAUCUUGCAAACUAUAAUAGAUACAGAUACGCCUUAUGAAAUUAAAUGGAUCACUCUAAGACCAGGUUGUCGGCUAUUAGAAAAAUUCUAAUUUUAGUCGCAGCUGAUAUAUCAAGCGGAGAAUUCAUCGCGAGAGGUGUGUGUGGAACGGGUUGGAAUUCAGCGAUGCGCCGUUUUUGUUAAUCAAAUUUUCCCGCCGUUUCUCGCGGGAUACGUUGAAUCCGUCUCCAUUUUGAAUCUCGAGUCCGUCCGUCGAACGUUCGUGGUUUGAGGAUAUCUUUGGAGAAUCGAGAUUCUGAAGAAUACAAAAGUUGAUGCAGGCGACAAUAAAAUAAUUAUUCUUCCCGAAAUCUCCUUCAAUUACGGCCACGGAACGCAGGAGUGGUGCCUUGUAACUGUCGAGAGCGUUUAACAAGGGCCACGUGUGUAAGACAAUUCACGAUGGUUGUUACGGCUCGGGAUUCCCUGUGUGUUGGAACGGUGAACGACAAACAACAGGAUCCAGGUUGCCUCUGUUUCUGCCCACGCAACGGCCAACAAACGUCAGAACGAUAAUCCGGAUGAAAUUAAAGCGUGGAAUUAACGGUGUCGGGUAAAAUAUCGGCGAUACAAUGCGGGAGAAGAAAAUGGAGGCCGAUUAUUGGAGGUGAUAAAAAUUCAUUAUGGGCCCUUGUGUAUUCCCUCCGUUGAAAAUUGAUGGCUGAUGGUAUCGAGUAGUAUAACAGGUUAUUUCGAAGAUUGUUAAAUUAAUAAAUAAAUUUAUUAAGGCUUAUCAUUUGUCCGUUAAGAUUUCUCGGAAAUUGAAUAAUUAUUUUAAUCUUGGAAAAUUGAAUCGAUAAAAAUAUUGCACUUCUCCAAUGUUAAUUCUCCGUAUCAACAAACACGUAAGAUCAUCGCAACGUGUCAUAAAUCACAGCUUGACAAGAAAAUUACAAGCGAAAUGUUUGACUUUACUAAAGAGUCCGUUUGUAAUAUCGCGACUAAUCUUUUACGUCUUGCAGAAAAGAAGCCAAAUGGACCCUUUGACAUCCAGUUCCAGAGCAACGAAACAAGGAACCAAACAGUCAUCAAAGUGAAAUGCCAGUUGUCCAACGUCUCGCCAAAGGGUGAUUAAUGUACACGGAAGAAGGAGAAGAAAAACGUAGAAUAAAAUAAGUAAGAAGAUGGCUAAGUCUCUUUCAGAUGUUCAAUGUAUUAAACAAAUUUAAUAGGAUGUUUCACGUGAUAUAUUAUACAAACUUAAGAGGACCUUUAAGAUGAUAUGAUACACAAACUCGAUAGGAUCUUUGAGACGAAUCCAUAAGAAUUCAAACAACGUGCAAAUUCGCAACAAAUUUUAUAUAAAAUAUAGAGCCUUUCGCCAUAUCCAUUGUACAAAACAGGAUAAUACGAAUAUUACUGUAUGAAGGCUCAAGAGAAGCAGUACGAUAAACAAAAGAAACGUAACAAGAAAAAAAGAAAAGGAAAUAUUCUCCUUAAUCUGGUCAUAAAUCCAGCGUAAUCCAAAUUCGCCUGGCGGAUUGUUGCGCUCUCGUGCGAUUAAAUAUUAACAACGGGAGGCCGAUUGCGUAAUUAAAAGGGUAUUCGUGCUAUUACGGCCCAAGUCGCAUGCGGAAACGAGCGUGCAAACCGAGCUGCAAACGGGAUCCGUGGUAACUUCCUUAUCUGGCUUUUCGAUUUUCCCUAACUUUGAAAUCUAACUAAAGGGACUAAGUUUGGUCGCAACUUUCCACGCCGCCGCCAUUUUGCCGUCGAUACGCGGAAUCGAGCGUUAUUUCACUUUAAACCCUUGAAAAUGGGCCUCAGCAGGUAGAUGAGACGAUAUAUUUCAACGUUUCGAUCGAGUUAUGAAUAAAUUGUAAUAUUUUCUUCAAUUUUUGUAGAGGAAAGGCAAGGAAAAUUUUUUUGAAUUAAAGGAAAAUUGAAGGAAAAUUAAAGAAUUAGCUAAGGAAUGAUAAGAUUACGUUGUUAUUACAAUGCCAUAUUGUACAGAAUUAUCAAUGUAGGUUAUGUUGAAAUAGAUAAAAGUUAUCGACUAAAUGGCAGCAAUCUGAAAAAUAAGGAAUAUUAAAGUAAUUAUUCUGCUCAUUAAUUAUUUAAUUUGUUGUUACAUAAAAAAAAUUAUUGAAGCUAUUGUUUCAAUUAUUCUUCUAAUCUUGAGUUGAAAAUCAUUGAAGUCAAAUUAAUCAAAGAAUGAAAUAAUGAUCGAUUGUUAUUUCCUCGAAAGGAUAAAAAUUCUCUUGGUUCAAUUAUUUCUCGAUGACACGACGAUUAUCAAAUAGUAAUUAUCGUGAGAAAAAGGAAUACGAUAAUAUUUUAAGCUGUCAAAUAAAAAAUACAUCAAACGAGAGAUCAAUCGUAUAUGUAAUUAUGUAAUUACGUUUCACACGGAAUAUUCUCUACAGUCUGAAUUGAGUUAUACUUAGACGCCGCUCGAAACCAUUUAUGCAGUCAUUAAGGCAUCAUUAAUCUUGACUCCGUUAUACGCGACAAGUCAUUGUUAGAAACAGGUGCUACUUCCUAGGUGGACGGGGUUAUUAGCCGAAUGAAUGAAAUAUAAAGAAAUCGACGGUAAAAAUCUCUGCUAGAAACGAACCGUGACUAGCAAUUAGCAAAUUCUGUAUCAAGAAAAAUGUAAUUUUGAUAAAGAAAU
rnacentral:lncRNA from 1 species